CACUCAUUUGCCUUAAUUAGCACCUGGGAUGUCACAAUCAGUCUCCCUUUAAGAACUUGAUCUCUAAUUCUUGUUGGAUUGUUCAUGAUAGCAAAUACAAUUAAAAUAGAAUUCAAAAUCAAAAGAAAAAGACUUACGAAAGAAUAAGGAAUUUGUUUCCCUCUUAAGUAAGAUUCUUUUUUGGUCGGUCCCUUCUCCUCCUUAAGUUUUUCAUUCUUCCCCAAUCUUCUUCUUUUAUGCGUGUCUUGGUUGACUCUUUCUUGCAUUAUUCUUCUUGUUGGACAAUCUUUAAGUGACAGAUGAAGUAUUCAAACUCCCUAAGUGUGAGGACUUUACCAAUUUUAAGGAAA
rnacentral:lncRNA from 1 species